UCCCUGGUGGCUCAGACGGUAAAGAAUCCGCCUGCAAUGCAGGAGACCUGGGUUCGAUCCCAGUCUUGGGAA
rnacentral:tRNA from 1 species